rnacentral:sRNA from 14 species
AAUAUAUUGAUAUAAUGAAAGUGAGCAAGUUGGAUAGAUUGCGGCUAGUCUCUUGAAAAAAGGGAUUCCUAUGUUUAUAGUUGGUACUUCUAGGAAGGACUAGCAUGUCUUAUUUCGAAAUGCUGAUGGUUGUAUUAACAAUUAUGAGUUUAGUCUUAAUUAGUAAUCAAAACUCUGA